AUGCGUGCUUAUUUCUUCAUUCAUCAUCAUCACCAUCCCAGAUCCUUUAUCCUCUUUAUAUUCUUUUGUUUUAUGUGUUUAUGUUUGAUUAAAAUAGAGAACGAGAGAGAAAGAGAGAGGAAGCGUUACAAUUUUGAGAUUAACAUUGAUUUUUUUUUUUGCAUUUUUGUUAAACAAAUGAUAACUAGGAUCGUUAAUCCAGCGAUGACACUUGUCACCACCAAUGUGGUUGCUCACCGAUUCUACGUAGGUACUCCCACGCAAGCUAUCAUACGCCUUCUUAUCAUCAUCAACAUCAUCAUCAAAUCUGCAUCAGUUCAUCACUAA